CGUGAGUAACCUGCCUCUAAGAGGGGAAUAACAUUCUGAAAAAAAUGCUAAUACCGCAUAACAUAUAUUUAUCGCAUGGUAGAUAUAUCAAAGAUUUAUCGCUUAGAGAUGGACUCGCGUCCGAUUAGUUAGUUGGUGAGGUAACGGCUCACCAAGACUGCGAUCGGUAGCCGGACUGAGAGGUUGAACGGCCACAUUGGGACUGAGACACGGCCCAG
rnacentral:rRNA from 1 species